rnacentral:rRNA from 1 species
GUCGAGAAUCUUUCACAAUGGGGGCAACCCUGAUGGAGCGACGCCGCGUGGAGGAUAAGGUCUUCGGAUUGUAAACUCCUGUCAUGCGUGAACAAGGUUGCUUGGUUAAUACCUGGGCAAAUUGAUGGUAACGCAAGAGGAAGAGACGGCUAACUCUGUGCCAGCAGCCGCGGUAAUACAGAGGUCUCAAGCGUUGUUCGGAAUCACUGGGCGUAAAGGGUGCGUAGGUGGCGUGGUAAGUCAGAUGUGAAAGCCCGGGGCUCAACCGAGGAACUGCAUCCGAUACGGCCAUGCUAGAGUACUGGAGAGGUGACUAGAAUUCUCGGUGUAGCAGUGAAAUGCGUAGAUAUCGAGAGGAAUACCAAAGGCGUAGGCAGGUCACUGGACAGUUACUGACACUGAGGCACGAAGGCCAGGGGAGCGAACGGGAUUAGAACCCGAGUAGUCC